CACAAUUGGAUCGCUCUGAGUGUUUAAAUUAUUGCACGAAACAUAUAAUUGCUGUUUAUGUUGGGUGACCAGUACUGUCAAUACAUUUAACCAAUCUAAAUCAGGAAUUACCGGUUAACAGAUCGAAUUUAAUCUACUGGUGAGAUCAAAAAGAAUGGAACUAAAGCGUAUGGUUCCGAAAUCCAACUUCAACCCAGUGGCCAUUCGUCUUUGACCCUCUCCUGGUGGACCAACCUCAAUCAACCCCCUUCCCCCUCACCGUCAUCCACUUGUGUGAUAAUACACCUCAUAGACGCAAUAUCAAACUCCAUUCUUCAAAGUCACGUGACGACUCGGGAUUCAAUUACAUUACAACAUAUUAGACCAUUCGAUAUCUUACAACAGAAUGAGCGGCAUCAAGAAAUGUUCCGAGUUAACAACAAUUCUGACAAUUCCGCAAAACCUCGCCAAGAAAAAACUCAAUUAGAAAAAUUUCGCAUUACAUCGAGAAGUUCAGAUAUAACAUUUCAAAUCAUGGUUCAAAUGUUCAGAUUUAACAAGGAAGCUUCCAAAAUCUCAUUCAACAAAUCGGAAAUCGAGAACCCGACUUCCAAUUAUAAUUAUUCAUCGGUCGAUCAAUCCUACAUCAGUAAACAAGAAGAAUUUUCAUGUGGUUUGCACCUUCUCAAUGUGUAUGGUCAAAACUCAAUCAAUCUAAAAAACGACAAUGUCCAAAUUGAUUCCAAAAUUCUUCACAUAUCUGAUAACUUCAAAGAACAGAAAACGAGGAGAUACUACAACACAGUAAAUACACCUAAAUGCACUUUCGCAACUGAUAAGUACGGAAAAAUCACACAUACGGCUCAGGCAGAAAUUGAAACAUAGCCGCAUAAUCUUAACUUUUAACUAAUUGUCAAAUUUGCGAAAUUCGAAAGUUUCAAAUAAAUGUAAGCAUCAGUGACUUGAUUUUGAUAUGAAGAUUUUAAUUUACAUAACGAUUGUUAAUCUUUA